UACAGAGGUCUCAAGCGUUGUUCGGAUUCAUUGGGCGUAAAGGGUGCGUAGGCGGCGCGGUAAGUCGGGUGUGAAAUCUCGGGGCUUAACUCCGAAACUGCAUUCGAUACUGCCGUGCUUGAGGACUGGAGAGGAGACUGGAAUUUACGGUGUAGCGGUGAAAUGCGUAGAUAUCGUAAGGAAGACCAGUGACGAAGGCGGCUCUCUGGGACGGUACUGACGCUGAGACGCGAAAGCGUGGGGAGCGAACAGG
rnacentral:rRNA from 1 species